rnacentral:rRNA from 1 species
AGAAUCAACGCUGGCGGCGUGCCUCAGACAUGCAAGUCGAACGCGAAAGUCCCCUUCGGGGACAAGUAGAGUGGCGCACGGGUGAGUAACACGUAGGUAAUCUACCUUCGGAUGGGGAAUAACAAUCGGAAACGGUUGCUAAUACCGCAUAAUGCAGCGGCACCUAAUGGUGGCAGUUGUUAAAGCGGGGGAUCGAAAGACCUCGCGUCUGAAGAGGAGCCUGCGGCGGAUUAGCUAGUUGGUAAGGUAAUGGCUUACCAAGGCUACGAUCC